AAACAAAGGAGAUGAGGCCAGUUU
rnacentral:piRNA from 1 species